GCUCAACCGGGGAGGGUCAUUGGAAACUGGGGAACUUGAGUGCAGAAGAGGAGAGUGGAAUUCCACGUGUAGCGGUGAAAUGCGUAGAGAUGUGGAGGAACACCAGUGGUGAAGGCGACUCUCUGGUCUGUAACUGACGCUGAGGCGCGAAAGCGUGGGGAGCGAACAGGAUUAGAUACCCUGGUAGUCCACGCCGUAAACGAUGAGUGCUAAGUGUUAGAGGGUUUCCGCCCUUUAGUGCUGCAGCAAGCGCAUUAAGCACUCCGCCUGGGGAGUACGGUCGCAAGACUGAAACUCAAAGGAAUUGACGGGGGCCCGCACAAGCGGUGGAGCAUGUGGUUUAAUUCGAAGCAACGCGAAGAACCUUACCAGGUCUUGACAUCCUCUGACAACCCUAGAGAUAGGGCUUCCCCUUCGGGGGCAGAGUGACAGGUGGUGCAUGGUUGUCGUCAGCUCGUGUCGUGAGAUGUUGGGUUAAGUCCCGCAACGAGCGCAACCCUUGAUCUUAGUUGCCAGCAUUCAGUUGGGCACUCUAAGGUGACUGCCGGUGACAAACCGGAGGAAGGUGGGGAUGACGUCAAAUCAUCAUGCCCCUUAUGACCUGGGCUACACACGUGCUACAAUGGGCAGAACAAAG
rnacentral:rRNA from 1 species